ensembl:lncRNA
CGCCAGCAGUCUCUCGGAAAAGUGCCGGCUGCUGCUGAAGGUGCUGCCUAGGCGUCGUCCGGCGGUGUGAGGCACAGCCCUGCCAAAAAGGACCUGGGUGGUACCGGUGGUUGGGAAGCUGGAUGGGAGCCAGCAAUGUGCCCUCACAGCCCAGAAAGCCGACCGUAUCCUGGGCUGGAUCAAAAGAAGUGUGCCCGGCAGGGUGAGGGAGGUGAUCCUGAUUCUCUGCUCUAUACUGGUGAGGCCUCGCCUGGAGUUCUGUGUUCGUAUGUGGAGUCUUCGGUACAGGAGUGACAUGGACCUUUUGGAGCACGUCCAGAGGAGGGCCACAGAAAUGGUCCAUGGAAUGGAACAACUCUCCUUCAAGGAUAGGAUGAGAGAGCUGGGGCUGUUCAGCAUUCUGGGGACACCUGAUAGCGGCCUUUCAGUAUCUGAAGGGGAGCUGUAAGGUCUUUAUUCCCCCUUCUUAGGGGACAGACUCCUUAGCAGAGUCUGUGAUGACAGGACAAAGGGAAGUGCUUUCAAACUAAAAGAGGGGAGAUUUAGAUUGGAUGUAAGGGAUAUGUUUUUCAGCCUUUCACAGUAAGGGUGAUGAGGCACUGGCACAGGUUGCCCAGAGAGGUGGUGGAUGCCCUGUCCAUAUCGACACUGAAGACGCAAGAGGUCACUCAACAAACCAAGCAUAAGAAAAAGUGGUUCCUCUAUCAUUUAUACUUUAACACAGGAGUUUCGCAAGGCCUUCAGCAGCAACCCGUGCAUCUGGCUCCGACUAGAAUGCACUACACCUUUCCACACUGCAGGGCAGUACUUCCUACAGAUCUUAUCAGCAGCAGCUUGAAAUCCUGGGCCAAGAAGUGCUGCUUGAGGAAGGCGUACACGUCCCUGGAAGUCACGUGCAGGAAAACACAAAUAAAUAAGAGGGACCCUCAACUGUCUUCACUCACAGACACGAGUUAAAAGGUUUGCCCUGCAGUAUAACCACAGAAAAGGAGGGAGACGUGUCAGGUGGAAGGGUGAUAACGAGAACAUAGAUUAUAAUUAAAGAACAUUUCUCAGUGCUCGGUGAGGUGGCUAAUGUUCCAGCGCCUGUUUCUUUUAACAAAUUGUUACUGGCAUCCAUGCUCCUGAGUGCAAAGUCAUCGCAGAACGGCACAGAGACAUUAUUACAAUGAAGCCACUAAUGGAAAGCAAAAUGUGUGUUUUCCAUUUGAAGAAGUAUUAAUUAAAUAAAAAGCCACUGCGUGUUUA